rnacentral:rRNA from 1 species
GACAGAGGGUGCGAACGUUGCUCGGAAUCAUUGGGCGUAAAGCGCGUGUAGGUGGCUCGCCACGUCGGAUGUGAAACCCGGGGGCUCAACUCCCGGACUGCGUCUGAAACUGCGAUUCUAGGGACUCGGAGGGGCUAGUGGAAUUCUUGGUGGAGCAGUGAAAUGCGUAGAUAUCAAGAGGAACACCAACGGCGAAGGCAGCUAGCUGGACGAGAUCCGACGCUCAGGCUCGAAAGUAUGGGGAGCAAAAAGG